rnacentral:rRNA from 1 species
AUACGGAGGGUGCAAGCGUUAUGCGGAUUCAUUGGGUUUAAAGGGUGCGCAGGCGGACUUGUAAGUCAGUGGUGAAAUCCCGGGGCUCAACCUCGGAACUGCCAUUGAUACUGCAAGUCUUGAGUUUGGUUGAAGUGGGCGGAAUGUAGCAUGUAGCGGUGAAAUGCAUAGAUAUGCUACAGAACACCGAUCGCGAAGGCAGCUCACUAAACCAACACUGACGCUCAGGCACGAAAGCGUGGGGAGCGAACAGGAUUAGAAACCCUAGUAGUCC